CCACCCCCAAGAGGCAUUACAGGUGUGGCUGCUGUGUCACAUGUGCAUCAGUAGGUGGCAGAAAGGAAAGAGGAUAUGUAUAUAUGCUCAGUGUUCUGACCUGUGGACUUCUGAAUGAGGAUGUUAGAGCCUAACAUC